UAACGCGUGAGGAACCUGCCUCAAAGAGGGGGACAACAGUUGGAAACGACUGCUAAUACCGCAUAAGCCCACAGCUCGGCAUCGAGCAGAGGGAAAAGGAGCAAUCCGCUUUGAGAUGGCCUCGCGUCCGAUUAGCUAGUUGGUGAGGUAACGGCCCACCAAGGCAACGAUCGGUAGCCGGACUGAGAGGUUGAACGGCCACAUUGGGACUGAGACACGGCCCAGACUCCUACGGGAGGCAGCAGUGGGGAAUAUUGCACAAUGGGGGAAACCCUGAUGCAGCGACGCCGCGUGGAGGAAGAAGGUCUUCGGAUUGUAAACUCCUGUUGUUGAGGAAGAUAAUGACGGUACUCAACAAGGAAGUGACGGCUAACUACGUGCCAGCAGCCGCGGUAAAACGUAGGUCACAAGCGUUGUCCGGAAUUACUGGGUGUAAAGGGAGCGCAGGCGGGAAGACAAGUUGGAAGUGAAAUCUACGGGCUCAACCCAUAAACUGCUUUCAAAACUGUUUUUCUUGAGUAGUGCAGAGGUAGGCGGAAUUCCCGGUGUAGCGGUGGAAUGCGUGGAUAUCGGGAGGAACGCCAGUGGCGAAGGCGGCCUACUGGGCACCAACUGACGCUGAGGCUCGAAAGUGUGGGUAGCAAACAGGAUUAGAUACCCUGGUAGUCCACACCGUAAACGAUGAUUACUAGGUGU
rnacentral:rRNA from 1 species